GUGUCAGCAGCCGCGGUAAUACGAAGGUGGCGAAUGUUGCUCGGAUUCACUGGGCGUAAAGCGUCCGCAGGUGGUUGAAUACGUCAGAUGUGAAAGCCCCGCGCUCAACGUGGGAAUGGCAUUUGAAACGGUUUGACUAGAAGGUGAGAGAGGUAGGCAGAAUUUCCGGUGUAGAGGUAAAAUUCGUAGAUAUCGGAAGGAAUACCCAUGGCGAAGGCAGCUUACUGGCUCAUUCUUGACACUCAGGGACGAAAGCGUGGGGAUCAAACAGGAUUAGAAACCCGUGUAGUCC
rnacentral:rRNA from 1 species